rnacentral:rRNA from 1 species
UUUUUAUGGAGAGUUUGAUCCUGGCUCAGGAUGAAUGCUGGCGGCGUGCCUAACACAUGCAAGUCGAGCGGUAACAGGUCUAGUUUACUA